rnacentral:rRNA from 1 species
UACAGAGGGGGCAAGCGUUGUUCGGAAUUACUGGGCGUAAAGGGCGCGUAGGUGGCCUUCUAAGUUGAACGUGAAAUCCCUGGGCUCAACCCAGGAACUGCGUCCAAGACUGGGAGGCUUGAAUCCGGGAGAGGGAUGCGGAAUUCCAGGUGUAGCGGUGAAAUGCGUAGAUAUCUGGAGGAAUACCGGUGGCGAAGGCGGCAUCCUGGACCGGCAUUGACGCUGAGUGAGCGAAAGCCAGGGGAGCAAACGGG